AAAGUUUUCACACUUAGACAAAAGCAAAACCCCUAACAGUGUUUUGUACAAAGCACAAGAGAACUUGUCAACUUUAUAAAGCAGAACAGACUUCGACAGCACAGCUUUACACACCACAAAAGUUAAACCUGUUGGCAAACACAUUAAGAAAUACAGCAAAUAAGCAAAUUAUUGUGAACCAUAGGAGCUAUCCCUACAACAGUCCAGCACAAGACAGAUUCAUCUCACUUAUGUCACUUACUCAUCGUCUAUAACGCUUUAUUCUAUAUGUGUCAGCCCCAAUAUCAUUACAAUGGAAGAAGACCAAAGGUAAAGAUGAGUCAGAGUGAAACUUAAAAGUACCCACAAGGAACUUUGGUUUUAUGUCAUGUUUAAAAAAAACAACACAUUAAUGUCAGUUUCCUUGUUGAGUUCAGGUGUUUCAAUCCAUCAGGCCGCUCAUCCGUAGUGAAACACAGUCUUAUGUUUCCAAAAGACAUCUAUGCUUGCUUUUUUAUUAAAUUUGUGGCAACAGUUUAGAAAAGGUCUUUUGCUCUUUUCCCGACAUGACUGUGCCCCAGUUCACAAAGCAAGGUAUAUAUGGAUAUAGGUACAUAAAAGACUGGAUGACCGAUAAUUUUCUCUUACUAAAUUCAGACAAGACAGAGGUAUUACUUGAAGGCCCAAAAGACAAUUCCCAACAUCUCUCAAAAUCCAGCUUGUAUUUGGAAGGAUGUACUGUUACUACCAGCUCGACAGUAAAACACCUGGGCGUAAUAUUAGACAGUAACUUGUCCUUUGAAAAUCAUAUUUCCAAUAUCACAAAAACAGCCUUUUUCCACCGUAGACAUAUCGCCAAACUAAGAAACAUUCUAGCCAUAUCUGAUGCAGAAAAGCUAGUUCAUGCAUUCAUGACCUCCAGACUGGACUAUUGUAAUGCAUUACUAGGUGGUUGUCCUGCAUCCUCAAUAAACAAGCUUCAGUUAGUCCAAAAUGCAGCCACCAGUUUUUACCAGAUCAUACUGUGUAACCCUAGUACUAUCAUCCCUGCACUGGCUACCUGUUCAGUUUACAAUUAAUUACAAACUAGCAUUGCUUAUGUACAAGUGUCUAAAUGGUUUAGCUCCCACAUAUCUAGCCAGUCUUCUGACACCAAAGCACUAUGCUCCUUAAGAUCACAAAACUCUGGAUUUCUGUUAGUUCCCAGAAUAUCAAGGUCUACAAAAGGGGGUAGAGCACUUAUAUUUAGCUUUGAAAUAGCCUUCCAGACAGUGAAUGGGGCUCAGACACAGUCUACCAGUUUAAAAGUAGACUAAAACACAUUUCUUUAAUCUAGCAUACACAUAAUUCAUCACAUAACCUUGUACUCCAGUAUAUCUAAAUGCACACUCCUAUCUUGUACUGCUAAUAUCCUGAAUGGCAUCUACAUUACGCUAAUUCUUUUCCACCUGUUUUUUCUUACUUUAAUCAUCCUGAGGCUUCUGGAGAUUGUGCCAGCUCUAGUAAGGCCAACCCUGGAGGAUCUUGAGGCAUCCAGAGAAGAAACACCUUCAGCUGGAUUCUGCUUCAUGAUGGUUGGAGCUACACAUGCUGAUCCUGAGCUCCAAGUGAUCCAGACCACGCUCUGUCCUCUGCACCUGCUGACUCAUCCCUGUGCUGAACUGGACUCCAUGAUAACUUGGACAACUUCUGUUAUACUUAACACAUGAUGUUAUAUAAUUUCUCUUAUCCUUUAUCAUCCAAUUGAGGAUGGGUUCCCCCUUGAGUCUGGUUCCCUUUAAGGUUUCUUUCUAUUGCCAUAUCUGGGAGGGUUUUUUUUGUUUG